rnacentral:rRNA from 1 species
GUCAAGUCAUCAUGGCCUUUAUGCCCAGGGCUACACACGUGCUACAAUGGGAAGGACAAAGGGCUGCCACUUGGCGACAAGGAGCUAAUCCCAAAAACCUUCUCUCAGUUCAGAUUGCAGUCUGCAACUCGACUGCAUGAAGCUGGAAUCGCUAGUAAUCGUGAAUCAGCGAUGUCACGGUGAAUACGUUCCCGGGUCUU